GACUGUAAUGGUCAGUUUGGUUUCGGAGGCACUUGAUUUUCUCGCUGUUUCUACUCCAUCCCCAUAAGAACCCCCCAGCGGCGCCCAGCACGAAUCUCGCGGUGGCCACCCACUCGCACGGGUAACCUGCGAUCGCUGCGUGUGGCCCUAAGCAAUGAAGAUGACACUUGAGGGAGGUCUCACUCUGCAGAGGCAUCUUCACCGUCAGAUGGCGCGCUGGAUCACGAUCGCUGGGGGCUUGGGGUAGAGCGGCGAGAUGGAGAUGUCGACUCCAAUUUUU
rnacentral:SRP_RNA from 21 species